rnacentral:rRNA from 1 species
AUUGAACGCUGGCGGCAGGCCUAACACAUGCAAGUCGAACGAGUGGCGGACGGGUGAGUAAUGUCUGGGAAACUGCCCGAUGGAGGGGGAUAACUACUGGAAACGGUAGCUAAUACCGCAUACCAUCGGAUGUUCCCAGAUGGGAUUAGCUAGCAGGUGGGGUAUCGGCUCACCUAGGCGACGAUCCCCAGCUGGUCUGAGAGGAUGACCAGCCAGACUGGAACUGAGACACGGUCCAGAAUCCUACGGGAGGCAGAAGUGGGGAAUAUUGCACAAUGGGCGCAAGCCUGAUGCAGCCAUGCCGCGUGUAUGAAGAAGGCAUUCGGGUUGUAAAGUACUUUCAGCGGGGAGGCGUUACCCGCAGAAGAAGCACCGGCUAACUCCGUGCCAGCAUCCGCGGUAAUUC